GAUGAAGAACGUAGUGAAAUGCGAUAAUUAAUGUGAAUUGCAGAAUUCCGUGAAUCAUCGAGUCUUUGAACGCACAUUGCGCCUCAUGGCAUUCCGUGAGGCAUGCCCAUCUCAGCGUUAGAAAAUAUUCUCAAAUUUUAGUUUUGUGCUAAAAUUUGGAUCAUGUCAAGGAAGCUAUUACUAUUAUUGUGAUCGCUGUUUGGAAAUUGAUAGGUCUUUGAGUUGCUACUCAUAGAACGUGAUGAAUCUUUCUUCGUUCUAUUGUAAUUCACUCUGGUAGUCCUAAAACUUGUAUGCCUGUGGCAUAUCUUGUAAUUUGACCUGAGAUUGGGUAGGGAUACCCGCUGAACUUAAGCAUAUCAAUAAGCGGAGGA
rnacentral:misc_RNA from 1 species